rnacentral:rRNA from 1 species
CAAAAUGGGAGGUAAAUUUCUCCUAAGGCUAAAUAUUGGCGAGAGACCGAUAGCGAACAAGUACCGUGAGGGAAAGAUGAAAAGAACUUUGAAAAGAGAGUUAAACAGUACGUGAAAUUGUUGAAAGGGAAACGAUUGAAGUCAGUCGUACUAACGGGAAAUCAACCUAUUUGAGUUGUGAGUUUUGGAUUUUGAAGAGUGUAAACCUUCAGGUACAAAUAUUUGCGGCUUUUUGGGCGUAAUUUCUCGUUCGGUAGGUUAACAUCGAUUUUGAAGAUUAUAAAAUGGUCGGAGGAAUGUGGCUUCGAUCUCGUAUUGAAGUGUUAUAGCCUUUGGUAGAUGUAAUGAUCAAGAUCGAGGAUUGCAACGAAUACCCUUUGGGCUAUCCGCCUGAUCUCUGAUACGUUGCCUUGGUAGCGAAAGCUUGCUUACGGUAUCGAGGUAUUACGGUCAAAAGGUUAGAACGUGAUUACAUUCGUUAAGGAUGUUGACGUAAUGGCUUCAAACGACCCGUCUUGAAACACGGACCAAGGAG